rnacentral:rRNA from 1 species
UUUUAUGGAGAGUUUGAUCCUGGCUCAGGAUGAACGCUGGCGGCGUGCCUAAUACAUGCAAGUCGAGCGAACGGACGAGAAGCUUGCUUCUCUGAUGUUAGCGGCGGACGGGUGAGUAACACGUGGAUAACCUACCUAUAAGACUGGGAUAACUUCGGGAAACCGGAGCUAAUACCGGAUAAUAUUUUGAACCGCAUGGUUCAAAAGUGAAAGACGGUCUUGCUGUCACUUAUAGAUGGAUCCGCGCUGCAUUAGCUAGUUGGUAAGGUAACGGCUUACCAAGGCAACGAUGCAUAGCCGACCUGAGAGGGUGAUCGGCCACACUGGAACUGAGACACGGUCCAGACUCCUACGGGAGGCAGCAGUAGGGAAUCUUCCGCAAUGGGCGAAAGCCUGACGGAGCAACGCCGCGUGAGUGAUG